GCUGCCACCACCAUGCUUCACCAUAAGGAUGGUGCCAGGUUUCCUCCAGACGUGACACUUGGCAUUCAGACCAAAGAGUUCAAUCUUGGUUUCCUCAGACCAGAGAAUCUUGUUUUUCAUGGUCUGAGAGUCUUUAAGUACCUUUUGGCAAACUCCAAGUGGGCUGUCAUGUGCCUUUUACUGAGGAGUGGCUACCGUCUGGCCACUCUACCAUACAUUUCUAAUUUGUUGAGUGCUGCAGAGAUGGUUGUCGUUCUGGAAGUUUGGCCCAUCUCCACAGAGGAACUCUAGAGCUCUAUCAGAAUGACCAUCGGAUUCUUGGUCACCUCACUGACCAAGGCCCUUCUCCCACAAUUUCUCCGUUUGGCCAUGCGGCCAGCACUAGAAAGAAUCUUGGUGUGUCCAAACUUCUUCCAUUUAAGAAUGAUGGAGGCCACUGUGUUCUUCAGGACCUUCAAUGCGGCAGAAUUAUUUUGGUACCCUUCCCCAGAUCCAUGCCUCAACACAAUCCUGUCUCGGCGCUCUACGGACAAUUCCUUUUACCUCAUGGCUUGGUUUUUGCUCUGACAUGCACUGUCAACUGUGGGACCUUAUAUAGAGAGGUGUGUGAUUUCCAAAUCAUGUUCAAUCAAUUGAAUUUACCACAGCUGGACUCCAAUCAAGUUGUAGAAACAUCUCAAGGAUGAUCAAUGGAAACAGGAUGCACCUGAGCUCAAUUUCGAGUCUUAAGCAAAGGGUCUGAAUACUUAUGUAAAUAAGAACCACAAUGGACCGAUGGAGGGACGGAUGGAAGGAUGGUCGGAUGGAUGUACCAUUUGGAAUUGACAAGCUACGAAGAGAACAAGACGUGGGGUGAGGCCCUGGAUUACUGCAGGGAGAAGCACGUUGACCUGGUCUUUGUCCACUCCCAAAGGGUCCAACAGAGAGCUAGGAGGGCCUCC
rnacentral:lncRNA from 1 species